GGAGUCGCUGCGGAGGAAGAAGGGAUCAGAGGAGGCAAGAAGAGGAAGAAGCUCGGCACUCGUUUCCUUGCAGAUUUGAAUUGAGGUUUCCAAUCCCCAUGGGUCAGACAUCACACAAGAGGAAGAUGUCUGGAUUCCUUUAUGUAUGCUUUGUGUACAGAUUCUUUGCUUGAUCAGCAUAUACCAACUAAUGCGAUGCAAAGUGGUGCGAUUUCAUGGAGCAGUAAGAAACAGCCGAGAAUUUCACUAUCUACAACAGAAGCAGAGUAUAAAGCAGCAUCUCAAGUAGCACAAGAACGUGUGUGGUUGGUGCGACUGCUGAAAUACAUUAAACAAGAUAUGGAUUAUUCUGUGAGACAAUCAAAGUGUGAUUAGACUUGCAGAAAAUCAUGACUUCCAUGCUCGAACGAAACAUAUAGAGGUGGAGCAUCAUUUUAUAAAAAAGAAGGUAUUCAAAGUUGAGAUUCAGUUGCAGCCAAUCACUUCAGAAGAUCAAGUCACUUACCAAAGGUCUGCCAGUGCAAACAUGCACCAAGUUUUGAAGAAUGUUAAGUCAUGAAUAAAGAGUAAGUAAUGAGGGGGAGAUUGUAAAGAGUCAUCACCGACUCUUUUGAAUGAGUCGAGAAGACUCAAGAGGCUUUGAGCCUCUCUUUUUUAAGUCGGUGCUUGUGUAAUGAUUAAAGAAAAAAAUUGUGGAAAUCGGUGGAAGCAUCCACCACCGACUUCUUCUCCUUUAUAAAUAGGGAUGUUGGGCAUAUUGAGUGGUGUGUGCAAGAAGAGUGUGUAAGAAGCGAGUUUUGUUGAGUCUCCUUUGAGCUAGAGUUUGUAUGCUUACUUUGUGAGUUGGUGUGUGAGAGUUUCAAGUGUGUGCUCAAGUGCAAGAGUAUCAGGUGCUUUGAUGUUAGCUCACUAAGUGAGCUUGUUGAGUAUGAGUAGGUGACUCGAUUCUGAUGUGUAACGGAGGCGCGUAGAAGAAGGAAUGAGUUCAUCCGGCAUCAGAUGCUGAAGUAAACGUGCCAGGUAAGACCAUGCAAGAGACGCGGUGCGUGUGCAUUUUCUCCUCGCAUCUCAUAGGUUGAGAUUAUGAAUAAAGAGCCUUCAAUUGGUGGAGCCCCGUGCAGCAGUACCACAAGCUUCAACGCGUUGAUUUUUUCGAUUAUCUUGUGCGAUCAAACUAUGUCACGUUGAUUUUUUCGAUUAUCUUGUGCGAUCAAACUAUGUGCAACGAAAGAUCUGGAUAUCUAUCUGGAGACUUUUAGU